rnacentral:rRNA from 1 species
GAUUAACGCUGGCGGCGUGCCUAACACAUGCAAGUCGAACGAGGUAGCAAUACCUAGUGGCAGACGGGUGAGUAACGCGUGGUCAACCUACCGUUGAGUGGGGGAUAACUAGCCGAAAGGUUAGCUAAUACCGCAUACGUCUCCGAGUGGCAUCACUUGGCGAUAAAAGGAGCAAUCCGCUCGAUGACGGGACCGCGUCCCAUUAGCUAGAUGGUGGGGUAACGGCCUACCAUGGCACCGAUGGGUAGCUGGUUUGAGAGAGCGACCAGCCACACUGGGACUGAGAAACGGCCCAGACUCCUACGGGAGGCAGCAGUGAGGAAUUUUCCGCAAUGGGCGCAAGCCUGACGGAGCGACGCCGCGUGUGGGAAGAAGGCCUUCGGUCGU